rnacentral:rRNA from 2 species
AAAUUGAAGAGUUUGAUCAUGGCUCAGAUUGAACGCUGGCGGCAGGCCUAACACAUGCAAGUCGAACGGUAACAGGAAGCAGCUUGCUGCUUUGCUGACGAGUGGCGGACGGGUGAGUAAUGUCUGGGAAACUGCCUGAUGGAGGGGGAUAACUACUGGAAACGGUGGCUAAUACCGCAUAACGUCGCAAGACCAAAGAGGGGGACCUUCGGGCCUCUUGCCAUCAGAUGUGCCCAGAUGGGAUUAGCUAGUUGGUGAGGUAACGGCUCACCAAGGCGACGAUCCCUAGCUGGUCUGAGAGGAUGACCAGCCACACUGGAACUGAGACACGGUCCAGACUCCUACGGGAGGCAGCAGUGGGGAAUAUUGCACAAUGGGCGCAAGCCUGAUGCAGCCAUGC